rnacentral:rRNA from 1 species
AGUGAACGCUGGCGGUAGGCCUAACACAUGCAAGUCGAACGGCAGCACAGUAAGAGCUUGCUCUUACGGGUGGCGAGUGGCGGACGGGUGAGGAAUACAUCGGAAUCUACUUUUUCGUGGGGGAUAACGUAGGGAAACUUACGCUAAUACCGCAUACGACCUACGGGUGAAAGCAGGGGAUCUUCGGACCUUGCGCGAUUGAAUUAGCCGAUGUCGGAUUAGCUAGUUGGCGGGGUAAAGGCCCACCAAGGCGACGAUCCGUAGCUGGUCUGAGAGGAUGAUCAGCCAAACUGGAACUGAGACACGGUCAAGACUCCUACGGGAGGCAGCAGUGGGGAAUAUUGGACAAUGGGCGCAAGCCUGAUCCAGCCAUACCGCGUGGGUGAAGAAGGCCUUCGGGUUGUAAAGCCCUUUUGUUGGGAAAGAAAAGCAGCAGGUUAAUACCCCGCUGUUCUGACGGUACCCAAAGAAUAAGCACCGGCUAACUUCGUG